rnacentral:rRNA from 1 species
AACAAGGAUUCCCCUAGUAACUGCGAGUGAAGCGGGAAGAGCUCAAAUUUUGAAUCUGGCAGUCCUUGGCUGUCCGAGUUGUAAUCUAGAGAAGUGUUUUCCGCGCUGGACCGUGUAUAAGUCUCCUGGAAGGGAGCGUCGUAGAGGGUGAGAAUCCCGUCUUUGACACGGACCACCAGUGCUAUGUGAUGCGCUCUCGACGAGUCGAGUUGUUUGGGAAUGCAGCUCAAAUUGGGUGGUAAACUCCAUCUAAAGCUAAAUACAGGCGAGAGACCGAUAGCGAACAAGUACCGUGAGGGAAAGAUGAAAAGAACUUUGGAAAGAGAGUUAAACAGUACGUGAAAUUGCUGAAAGGGAAACGCUUGAUGUCAGUCGCGUCGGCCGGGGAUCAACCUUGCUUCUCGCUCGGUGUAUUUCCUGGUCGANGGGUCAGCAUCAGUUUCGGUCGCCGUACAAGGGCGAGGGGAACGUGGCACUCCUCGGAGUGUGUUAUAGCCUUUCGUCGCAUGCGGUGGUCGGGACUGAGGAGCUCAGCACGGCCUCGGCUUGUGCUCAGGAUGCUGGCAUAAUGGCCUUAAGCGACCCGUCUUGAAACACGGACCAAGGAGUCUAACAUGCCUGCGAGUGUUUGGGUGGUAAACCCGAGCGCGUAAUGAAAGUGAAAGUUGAGACCUCNGUCGUGGAGGGCAUCGACGCCCGGACCUGAGUCUUUGACGACGGAUCUGCGGUAGAGCAUGCAUGUUGGGACCCGAAAGAUGGUGAACUAUGCCUGAAUAGGGUGAAGCCAGAGGAAACUCUGGUGGAGG